rnacentral:rRNA from 1 species
GACGAACGCUGGCGGCGUGCUUAACACAUGCAAGUCGAACGGAAAGGCCCUGCUUUUGUGGGGUGCUCGAGUGGCGAACGGGUGAGUAACACGUGAGUAACCUGCCCUUGACUUUGGGAUAACUUCAGGAAACUGGGGCUAAUACCGGAUAGGAGCUCCUGCUGCAUGGUGGGGGUUGGAAAGUUUCGGCGGUUGGGGAUGGUCUCGCGGCUUAUCAGCUUGUUGGUGGGGUAGUGGUUUACCAAGGCUUUGACGGGUAGCCGGCGUGAGAGGGUGACCGGCCACAUGGGGAGUGAGAUGCGGCCGAGACUCCUACGGGAGGCAGCAGGGGGGAAUAGUGCACAAUGGGCGGAAGCCUGAUGCAGCAACGCCGCGUGCGGGAUGACGGCCUUCGGGGUGUAAACCGCUUUCGCCUGUGACGAAGCGUGAGUGACGGUAGUGGGUAAAGAAGCACCGGCUAACUACGUG